rnacentral:rRNA from 1 species
UACGUAGGGUGCAAGCGUUAUCCGGAAUUAUUGGGCGUAAAGAGCUCGUAGGCGGUUUGUCGCGUCUGCCGUGAAAGUCCGGGGCUCAACUCCGGAUCUGCGGUGGGUACGGGCAGACUAGAGUGAUGUAGGGGAGACUGGAAUUCCUGGUGUAGCGGUGAAAUGCGCAGAUAUCAGGAGGAACACCGAUGGCGAAGGCAGGUCUCUGGGCCACUACUGACGCUGAGAAGCGAAAGCAUGGGGAGCGAACAGG